UUUGGACCUUUCACUAAACUAGGGUCUUUCUUUGGAAAUCUGCAAGCGGUUUGGCUGGCAGCGCAUCAGCAUUAUCUAUGACAAUAAACCAUCCUCAGGUAUCAAGCAGAGCACAAUAACGUUACAGUGGCCAAGUAUCAAGAAAUCCAUGGCUCUCUCUCCCAAGGGUCCUUGUCGACCUGGUCCUGGGUCUUAACUGAGGUGGCACAAGUCUCUCGCAUUAUUGUGAUAUCAGCACAUGGCAAGGUGGUCCGCAGUUUGCUAAUUGAAGCUCACAAGAAAGGCCUCACCAACGG
rnacentral:lncRNA from 1 species